GUGGGGAAUUUUGCGCAAUGGGCGAAAGCCUGACGCAGCAACGCCGCGUGGGUGACGAAGUCCCUUGGGACGUAAAACCCUGUCAGCUGGGACGAAAGGGCCCGCAAGGGCAAUUGACUGUACCAGCAGAGGAAGCCCCGGCUAACUCCGUGCCAGCAGCCGCGGUAAUACGGGGGGGGCAAGCGUUGUUCGGAAUUACUGGGCGUAAAGGGCGUGUAGGCGGCUAGGCAAGUCAGUUGUGAAAGCCCCAGGCUCAACCUGGGAAUUGCAACUGAAACUGCCUGGCUAGAGUUCAGGAGAGGAGGGCGGAACUCCCAGUGUAGCGGUGAAAUGCGUAGAUAUUGGGAGGAACACCGGUGGCGAAGGCGGCUCUCUGGACUGAAACUGACGCUGAGGCGCGAAAGCCAGGGGAGCAAACGGGAUUAGAUACCCUAGUAGUCC
rnacentral:rRNA from 1 species